rnacentral:rRNA from 1 species
GACGAACGCUGGCGGCGUGCUUAACACAUGCAAGUCGAACGGAAAGGCCCUGCUUUUGUGGGGCGCUCGAGUGGCGAACGGGUGAGUAACACGUGAGUAACCUGCCCUUGACUUUGGGAUAAAUUCAGGAAACUGCGGCUAAUAUCGGAUAGGAGCUCCUGCUGCAUGGUGGUGGUUGGUAAGUUUCGGCGGUUGGGGAUGGACUCGCGGCUUACCAGCUUGUUGGUGGGGUAGUGGCUUACCAAGGCUUCGACGGGUAGCCUGCCUGGGAGGGUGGCCGGCGACAUUGGGCCUGAGAGACGGCCCAGACUCCUACGGGAGGCAACGGUGGAGAAUAUUGCACAAUGGGCGGAAGCCUGAUGCAGCAGCGCCGCGUGCGGGAUGACGGCCUUCGGGUUGUAAACCGCUUUCGCCUGUAACGAAGCGUGAGUGACGGUAAUGGGUAAAGAAGCACCGGCUAACUACGUG